rnacentral:piRNA from 1 species
UGGCCAAAACUGCAUGUGGUUGUGCU